ensembl:lncRNA
UCGACGCAACUGACGACGUGUUUUAGGAGCAGGAUAGCUAGCAAUAGCAUCCACCUUGCUAGCAAUAGGACGCACUUGGCCACGACCCACCUGUUUCCCCAGAUAUGUUACAGUAGCCUUACCGAAUUCACAUUUAGCCAAGUUGAGGGUUAACGAAGCGUUUUCCAAACGCUGGAACACCAAUCUCAACGUAGAGAGGUGUUCAGCCCAUGUAGGUGAGUAUAUUACUACGUCGUCAAGGUAAGCUGUACAGUUGGAAACGUCAUCAAACACAAUAUUAACUAAACUCUGAAAAGUAGCGGGUGCAUUGCACAUUCCAAAUGGCAUAACUGUAUACUGUACAAAGUUAUCAGGAGUCACAAAAGCCGAAAUGUCAGAAGCCCGUGGGGUUAGAGGCACCUGCCAAUAACCUUUAAGCAAAUCAAGUUUACUUACAAAAACAGCCGAACCAAUCCGGUCAAUACAGUCUUCUAUCCUAGGCAGCGGAUAGGAAUCUGGCACCGUUACUGCAUUUACUCGACGGUAGUCCGUACAUAAACGGGACGUGCCGUCUGGUUUCGGAACUAAAAUACACGGGGAGCUCCAAGCACUAUGACUACGUUUUGCCAUGUCAUGUUUUAACAAGUAUUCAACCUCACCUUUCAUUAACUCACGUUUUUUUGUGUUUACCCGAUAGGGAUGUUGGCGAAUAGGAGAUGUACUACCUACAUCCACAUCGUGCGCCAAAACAGAUGUGCUCUUAGGUACAUCUUGGAACACAGUAAGAAAAGAAUGUAUUAGAGACACAAGAUCAUCUUUUUGACUGUCAUCCAAAUGUUCCAUUAAUGAAGGUCCACAGUCGGCACAGGCACCACCAACGCCAUGCUAGACCCCGCAGACUGAACCGGAGCACUAGAGGGGUUGUCGGAAGAAUUACGCACAUGAUAGGCUUUAAGCAUAUUGACAUGACACAAACGAGAAGAGCGCCUGGUGUCUGGUGUUUUGAUAAUAUAAUUAGUAUCACUAACUUUGCGCUCCACAACAUACGGUCCAGAAAAACUGGCAGACAGUGAUGAACCUGGAAUUGGUAACAAAACCAGUACUUGAUCCCCGGGCAAAAACGCACGGUCUUUUGCUUGUUUAUCAUACUGUUUUUUCAUACGUGACUGAGAGGAAGAGAGAGACUCCUGAGCUAGCAUGCAGGCAGCAUGCAGCCUCUCCCGCAUCUGACUUACAAAGUGUAACACAUUCUUAGGGGUACUACUAGGCGCAUUAGAUAAAACGCGCUCCUUUAACACUUUUAACGGACCCCUAGGUGUGUGUCCGAACACAAGGUCAGCAGGGCUGAACCCCAACGAUUCCUGCACUGUUUCCCUAACAGCAAACAAAACAAAGGGCACCCCCUCAUCCCAAUCAGCACCCGUUUCCAUACAAUACUUCCUCAGCAUGGUUUUGAGCGUCUGGUGCCAGCGUUCCAGAGCUCCCUGACUCUCUGGGUGGUAAGCGCUGGAGACCUGGUGCGAUAUGGACAAUGUUUUUAAUGCAGAAGAAAACAGUUUGGACAUGAAAUUAGUUCCUUGAUCCGUCUGGAUCACUCUGGGGAGACCAAAGGUGGAAAAGAACUUAAUCAGACUCUUAAUAAUUGUCUUAGCUGUAAUUAUCCGGAGAGGAAUAGCCUCCGGGUACCGAGUGGCGCUGCACAUAAUGGUAAGCAGAAACUGGUUACCUGUUCGAGUUUUUGGUAAUGGACCCACACAGUCAACAAUCACCCUCUCAAACGGUUCUCCAAUCACAGGAAUCGGGUGAAGUGGCACACGAGGAACAGGUUGGUUCACUUUCCCUGCAAGUUGACAUACAUGACAGGUUUUACAGUAUUGCACAAUGUCUGAUUUUAAUCCUGGCCAGAAGAAAUGUCGGAGGACUCUGUUGUAUGUCUUAGUUACCCCUAAAUGUCCGGACCAUGCAGGGUUAUGAGCCAGUGACAAUACUUGCUGCCGUAAUGGUGAUGGAACAACUACCUGCCAAACUGUAUCCCAGUCCUCACCUGUUUUAUGUGCAGUCCAUUUACGCAUUAGAACACCAGCGUCCACAAGGUAAGCAGUCUCCUGUACUUUUGCGUUUUCAAAAGAGACCACAGAAUCAAAGCACUUAUUAAGGCUGACAUCCUCUUUUUGCCACUCAAUCAGCCUCUCUGAUGUGAUGGAUGACAACACAUCACCUAACUGGGGAGCGACCCCGCAUCCCCCUUUCUCAGCCUGCACAGAAGGUAAUCCCUCUGGUUUACUCUCUACAUCUACAGUUACACCCCGUUCAAAAACAGUAUCAGACAAAUUCACUGUAUCACACUGUAUUCACAAUUGAUUAUUGAUCCCAAUUAUGGAAGAUUUGCUUCUAUCUGUCCAAUAUUCAUAGCUCUGUGUCUGUUUUAAAAUGUUGGAAAAUCUCAACAUGCCUAAUUGCUAGAGUACAUGACCCCCAUUUCCUUCCAACUCAGCCUCCCCUAUACUUGACUCAGUUGAAACUGCAACACAAUUAUUCUUGUCUCUCAUAUAUUAUAAGAACACAUGUAAACUAAGCUUAAAGUACACA